rnacentral:rRNA from 1 species
AGGGUUUGAUUAUGGCUCAGAACGAACGCUGGCGGCGUGGAUAAGACAUGCAAGUCGAACGGGACACCAUGAGUAGCAAUACCAGUGGUGUCUAGUGGCGAACGGGUGCGUAACACGUGGAUACAUUCCGGGAAGCGGGGGAUAGCCCAGGGAAACUUGGAUUAAUACCGCAUGUGGUCGAAAGACUAAAGGCAGGGACCGCAAGCCUGCACUUCCCGAUUGGUCCGCGGCCUAUCAGCUAGUUGGCGGGGUAAAAGCCCACCAAGGCUACGACGGGUAGCUGGUCUUAGAGGACGACCAGCCACACUGGAACUGAGACACGGUCCAGACACCUACGGGUGGCAGCAGUCGAGAAUCUUUCACAAUGGGGGCAACCCUGAUGGAGCGACGCCGCGUGGAGGAUGAAGAUCUUCGGAUUGUAAACUCCUGUCAUGUGUGAACAAGGUUGUCGUGUUAAUAGCAUGGCAAAUUGAUGGUAACACAAGAGGAAGAGACGGCUAACUCUGUGCCAGCAGCCGCGGUAAUACAGAGGUCUCAAGCGUUGUUCGGAAUCACUGGGCGUAAAGGGUGCGUAGGUGGCGUGGAAAGUCAGAUGUGAAAGCCCGGGGCUCAACCUCGGAAUUGCAUCCGAUACUACCAUGCUAGAGUACUGAAGAGGUGACUAGAAUUCUCGGUGUAGCAGUGAAAUGCGUAGAUAUCGAGAGGAAUACCAACGGCGAAGGCAGGUCACUGGGCAGUUACUGACACUGAGGCACGAAGGCCAGGGGAGCAAACGGGAUUAGAUACCCCGGUAGUCCUGGCAGUAAACGGUGCAUAUUUGGUGUGGGCGCAAUCGACCGCGUCCGCGCCGGAGCUAACGCGUUAAAUAUGCCGCCUGGGAAGUACGGUCGCAAGAUUAAAACUCAAAGAAAUUGACGGGGACCCGCACAAGCGGUGGAGUAUGUGGCUUAAUUCGAUGCAACGCGAAGAACCUUACCUGGUCUUGACAUGCAUUGUGUCUCCGGUGAAAGCCGGAUAGGGUAGCAACUGCCUCGAUCAACGAGGAGGAAGGUGGGGAUGACGUCAAGUCCGUAUGGCCCUUACGACCAGGGCUGCACACGUACUACAAUGCCCAGUACAAUAUGAACCGAGACCGCGAGGUGGAGGAAAUCAUAUAAAACUGGGCUCAGUUCAGAUUGGAGUCUGCAACUCGACUCCAUGAAGUCGGAAUCGCUAGUAAUGGUACAUCAGCUACGGUACCGUGAAUACGUUCCCGGGUCUUGUACGCACCGCCCGUCACAUCAUGGAAGCUGGUUUCGCCCGAAGUGCAUGCGCCAACCGCAAGGAGGCAGUGCCCUAAGGCAAGACUGGUGACUGGGAUGAAGUCGUAACAAGGUAGCCGUAGGGGAACCUGCGGCUGGAUCACCUCCUUUCU